UACGGAGGAUGCAAGCGUUAUCCGGAUUCAUUGCGUUUAAAGGGUGCGCAGGCGGAGAUAUAAGUCAGUGGUGAAAAACUGCCGCUCAACGGUAGUCUUGCCAUUGAUACUGUUUCUCUUGAGUAUGGAUGAGGUAGGCGGAAUGUGCAGUGUAGCGGUGAAAUGCAUAGAUAUUGCACGGAACACCAAUUGCGAAGGCAGCUUACUGAGCCAUUACUGACGCUCAGGCACGAAAGCGUGGGGA
rnacentral:rRNA from 1 species